GCUGGUGAGCAUUAUUGAAGAGUCAGCAAAGUCUGCCAUGCCUUCCAACUUGAUCUUGGACUGUGAGCCUGGAUCGAAGCUAGAGAAGUUGAAGGAGAACGAGGUUGCUGAUGGCAUAACUAUUGCCAAGAAUAGAACAGCAAGUUCCAUUUGCACACUACAAGGAAGUUCGUCUUAUGUGGAGCAAAAGUUAAAGGACUUCCAUUGUUUCCAUAGGCAAGCUACUGAAAGAAUAACCCUUGAGAAAAAGAUACGUCUUCUGUUGACUUCUAGUAUUUCUUGAUCACAAUUUUUCUGCAUCUAAUGUAUAUUUUCAAAAUAUUACAGGUCUAGGUCUAGGUCUUGGGUAGACUUUUUCUGUUUCUUGAGCACAAUUUUUCUGCAUCAAAUGCAUAUUUUCAAAAUGUUAUCUUUAAUUAUGGUAACGAUUCUUUGUCAAAUAGGAACCUUUGUUCCUUGAUUGGGAAAUGUUUGAUGCAAUACACAUGGAAACAAAAAGAAGGAAACUUCAUAGCAGUGUCUUACAUAUUAUCUGAAUAGACUUUUCUCUGAAGGUUUCUUUCAGGGGAUUCUCACUUUGGAAGUUAAUGAGCAUAAUUUUACCCACUGCAUACAAUGGGGGAAAGGACAUGUAACAAUAGAGGAAGGGUUAACUCCAGACAGAGACACCGACUGCAUGAGGUCAAAACAAUACCAACUCUAGGACCACGCGCUAACUGUUGGAAAGUUUCUACGAUCUAGAAUAAAGAUUGGAAUAUUUAUG